CAACAUAAUGGCUUCACAGAACCCCUACACACUGUGGUUAAUUAGGAGUGCAUUAGGAUUUCAGUGUUUAAGGGAUGAGAAGAAAAAAGAUAAAAUACCUUUUUUAAUGGUUGUAGAAUGGUUCUAAGAAAAGCCUUCCACAAAGUGAAGUUAUCUGGAGCACAGAGCCCUUCUGCACCAUUAGGAAUUGUGUGUUUACACUGAUUCCCUGCAGCACCACUUGAACUCUUCAACUCCUCCUCUUCCAAGGAUGAAAUCCUGUGGCAUGGAAACUCCAGUGCGAUGUCUUAGGCCUCACUUCAAAUGGCUACAGGAAAUGGAAUAGCUGCUGGGGAAAAAGUAGCAUGUGCUGUGUGGACAAAGAAUUUGCCUGGGUAGAAAAACAACUUUCAAAAAAAGAGGAG